rnacentral:rRNA from 1 species
GAUGAACGCUAGCGGCAGGCCUAACACAUGCAAGUCGAGGGGGAAGUUACUUUCGGGUGACUGAGACCGGCGUACGGGUGCGUAACGCGUAUACAAUCUGCCUUUCACUGGGGGAUAGCCCGAAGAAAUUUGGAUUAAUACCCCAUAGUAUAUAGGGACGGCAUCGUUUUUAUAUUAAAGCUUAGGUGGUGAAAGAUGAGUAUGCGUUCUAUUAGCUAGUUGGAGAGGUAACGGCUCCCCAAGGCGAUGAUAGAUAGGGGUUCUGAGAGGGAUGUCCCCCACACUGAUACUGAGAUACGGACCAGACUCCUACGGGAGGCAGCAGUGAGGAAUAUUGGACAAUGGUCGGAAGACUGAUCCAGCCAUGCCGCGUGCAGGAUGAAGGUCUUAUGGAUUGUAAACUGCUUUUGUAAGGGAAGAAUAAGGGCUACGCGUAGUUUGAUGACGGUACCUUACGAAUAAGCAUCGGCUAACUCCGUG